rnacentral:rRNA from 1 species
CCUACGGGCGACUGCAGUGGGGAAUAUUGGACAAUGGGGGGAACCCUGAUCCAGCCAUGCCGCGUGUGUGAAGAAGGCCCUCGGGUUGUAAAGCACUUUCAGUGAGGAAGAACGCCUGGUGGUUAAUACCCAUCAGGAAAGACAUCACUCACAGAAGAAGCACCGGCUAACUCCGUGCCAGCAGCCGCGGUAAUACGGAGGGUGCGAGCGUUAAUCGGAAUUACUGGGCGUAAAGCGCGCGUAGGUGGCUUGAUAAGCCGGUUGUGAAAGCCCCGGGCUCAACCUGGGAACGGCAUCCGGAACUGUCAAGCUAGAGUGCAGGAGAGGAAGGUAGAAUUCCCGGUGUAGCGGUGAAAUGCGUAGAGAUCGGGAGGAAUACCAGUGGCGAAGGCGGCCUUCUGGACUGACACUGACACUGAGGUGCGAAAGCGUGGGUAGCAAACAGGAUUAGAUACCCCUGUAGUC